UCUUCUUUUUAUUAAUUUUUUUGCCUGUCCCGUCAUGUAUCUCUACUUGGGCAGGCUGACCUUUUUCACACGUCACGUUUUUGUUUUGUUUUGGCCUUGCGCUCCCUGCUCUUCCAGACUGGAUCCCGUUAAAUAGGGUAAGUCCAGUCUGGUCACCACUGUGCUAAGUGAUUCUUUUUCCCAGGCUGGACCCCUUUAAGCCCAGCCUGGAUGUCAUGAUGCACAGUGGCAUACUGUACAUUUCUUUUUGCUUUUUGUUCUUGUUUUUCACCUUUAUUGUGAUAUUUUCGGUUCUUGCUAACCUCGCACUGCUGCUUCGGUUCCUCAGUAGGGGCGUUGACUUUUUACCAGUGCUCGCCGCAGCUCCUCUCACUCCCACGGUGUUACAGUGGAUAUUGAUCUAAAUCACAUCAUCAGACAUCUACAGUAAAUCACAAAGCACUCUGAUAUACUGGAGGCCAUCUUCAGACUAGAGACCAGAAAAGGAUUAUCAGCCAAGGCAGAGAACCAUUUUAAGCCCUUAGUUUUGUUACUCCUGGGAUUGUGUGGAAGAACUAUUGCUAGAACUUCAAUUUGCAAGCUAUACACUAUACCAUCCUUGCUCUGAGGACAGACUUGCAUUCUUCAGUUUAGUGCUACUUAUUAUCCAACCAUGGAAAUAAACAGCAAAAAAGAACACUUUAGAAAGCUUGCCAUCCUCACAGAGAUUUCUAAUUCCCGUGGCAACGAGAAACCCAGCCUGCUGAACCCAGCCAAUCAUGGAAGUGGCAGUAUCUUCCACAGUGAAAACUUCCAGCUCAAACUCUCUCCCCCUCCGGUUGUAGAGGAGUAGUGUGGCACCAGCCACAGUACUUACUUGAGCCUCUACAAAUUGUUCUUUACUAAUAAAAACACUAUCUUGUCUAUCAA